UUUACUCAUAGUUUCAAAUUAAACAAAAUAUUUUUGGUAUUUAUUGAAUACUUUUGUAUUUACUUAAGCUUUAUCUGGGACAUUAUUCAGUGGUGAUUUGCAGAAUGAUAAUGAGUUAUGGUGCACAGCAGAUGUGAGCAGUGGGUUUUGUUUUGGGGUUCACAUUAGAGAGCUUGAGGAAGAAGUGAAACUUCUUUAUAUUUCUCAAUGUCUUAAGUUUUUGAUUGUUUUGCAUGCUCCUCAUUGGGGAUACAUAGAAGUUGAUACAAAGACUUGUUGGAAACUGAUGGGGCGCUCCUACGAAUUCUAAGAAAGAACAAGUUUGAAAAUCAUAUUUAUUUUUUGUGAAAAGAGUACAUAUGCUAGCUACGAUCUAGAUUUUGUAAAGUUUCCUAUCAAUGCGAAUUUUAGUUUUGUAAAGCCUUUUAUCCAUGUGC